GCGGGUGUAGCUCAGUGGUAGAGCUCUUCGUUGCCAACGAAGUGGUCGUGGGUUCGAAUCUCAUCACCCGCU
rnacentral:tRNA from 1 species